rnacentral:rRNA from 1 species
CGCCUGUUUAUCAAAAACAUCUUUUCUCGUUAGUUUUUGAAGUAUGGCCUGCCCGCUGACUUUGAUGUUGAAGGGCCGCGGUAUUUUGACCGUGCAAAGGUAGCAUAGUCAUUAGUUCUUUAAUUGUGAUCUGGUAUGAAUGGCUUGACGAGGCAUGGGCUGUCUUAAUUUUGAAUUGUUUAUUGAAUUUGGUCUUUGAGUUAAAAUUCUUAGAUGUUUUUAUGGGACGAGAAGACCCUAUAGAGUUUGACAUUUAUAUGGUCUCUUUUCGUUUGUGAGGGUUCACUGGGCCAUUUAGUAUGUUUUGUUGGGGUGAUGGGAGGGAUAUUAUUUAACCCCUCCUUUGUGUUGUUAUAUUUAUUUAUGUUUGUUUGAUCCAUUUAUUUUGAUUGUAAGAUUAAAUUACCUUAGGGAUAACAGCGUAA